rnacentral:rRNA from 1 species
UACGGAGGGUGCAAGCGUUAUCCGGAAUCACUGGGCGUAAAGGGCGCGUAGGCGGCCUGUUAAGUCUGGCGUUAAAGCCUGGGGCUCAACCCCAGAUCAGCGUUGGAUACUGGCAGGCUAGACGGUUGGAGAGGCGAGUGGAAUUACCAGUGUAGCGGUGGAAUGCGUAGAUACUGGUAGGAACACCCAUUGCGAAGGCAGCUCGCUGGACAACACGUGACACUGAGGCGCGAAAGUGUGGGGAGCAAACCGGAUUAGAUACCCCUGUA